rnacentral:tRNA from 1 species
GUUUUAGCUCAGUUGGUAGAGCACAUCCUUGGUAAGGAUGAGGUCGCUGGUUCAAAUCCAGUAA